AGGAGUUGGUAUCAUUUGAAGACAUAGCUGUGGACUUCACCCGGCAAGAGUGGCAGGACCUGGAUGUUGCUCAGCGAAACCUCUACAGGGAUGUGAUGCUGGAGAACUACCACAGCCUGGUGUUCUUGAGGAGAGAGAGAAAGAAUGGCAUGCGAGGUCUUCUAGGUGCCAUAAGCCAACUCCAGAUGUAAGAGGGAGAUAUCAUCACUACAGCUUGUGGCAGCGAAGUAACCUAGGGUAUGGUGCAGAUCUUCUAUGUCUGCAUAUCUGCUGAUGCAGGUUGCACAACCACCUGGUUGCUAGGCACAAGUAUUUGCUGCUCAUCAGAGGUCUGUGCAUGCUGAAGAAUUGCACCUUGCUGAGUAUUGCCUGAAUUUACCAUGGGAACUGUAGGACCAAACCAGUUUUGAUUUUUAAGUUGGAGCAUGGAUUUGCACCAUGGAGUGUAGAAGAAAACUCAAUUCAGAGACUUCCAG